rnacentral:rRNA from 1 species
AAAUCAGUACGCUGGUCGUGCCUCUGGUAUGUACUGGUGUUACUGAUUUCUCCCUUCUGAAGAACUAUCAUGCCAUUAAUUUGGUGUGGUAGGGAAUCAGGACUGUUACUUUGAAAAAAUUAGAGUGUUUAAAGCAGGCACACGCUUGAAUACAUUAGCAUGGAAUAAUGAAAUAGGACGUUUGACCCUAUUUUGUUGGUUUCUAGGAUCGACGUA